rnacentral:lncRNA from 1 species
GAUCUCAAACAAAUUCAUCAUCAAGCUAAAGCCACUUGAUCCCGCAACGAAGCAGCAAGUAUUAAUCACUUCCUCAAAACCCUGCAAAUCUGGCUCAGGUACGCAUUCUUUGACCUUCAAAUGUUAUAUAGCAAUUAGGUACUAGGUUCUGAAUGAUCCUGUUUUUUUUGUUUUCCUUUCUUUGGUUGUAUCCUAGUAAUGAUGACAGUAUUGAGUAUUCAAAAUCUCAAACGUCGCAUUUCAUGGGGAAUGUUUUCAUCUAGGAAACCUUCAUUGCCAAUUUGGUUCCUUUGCAGCUAUAAAUAACUAAGAGGAGUCCAUUUUUUAAUAGUCUAUCACUCUUAUAUUUGAGUCAAUCUUAACCAUCAAAGCUAUAAAUUAAUGGUUAAGAUUUUGCGGGAGGACUGCAGAGGAUCUAAAUUGGAAGUGAAAGUAGAAUAUACUACGAAGGAACACAUAAAUGAACUUGUAUAUAAGAUAUAUCUAUCCUCUUCUCCCAAUUAUGAUUACUCAUUGUGUUGAGUUGCUGAAGCACAAAUCUACCACAUUGUCCUAGAGACAAAGCAAAUAUCAGACACAGCUUAACGUGUUUUCAUGUUUUAAAAUCUACAAACCGUAACAAUGUGUUUGGACGACUCAUUUGAAAAAUCUAGGAAAUUUUUAAUUCAGGGAUUAAAGUACUUCAAUCACAUUCCCUUCAUUUAUAAAAUAUCUUGUUUGGAAUUAAAUUUCCUUAAUAAUAUCAUUAAUUCUUUCACUUCACUCUAAUAAUAAUUAAAUUCUGGAAUCUGACACACACAAAAAUCAAGUCCUACAAUUUUUUCUAUCUGCACCAACUCAAUUUAGAAACAAAAAAGAAAACGAAAAAAAUACAGUAUAUAUGGUAUUCUCUUGAGAAAAAAAUUGAAAUAGAUGUUGUUAGAGUUUUCAAGAAGGAGAAUGCUGAAUGUUACGAAUUAUGGCUUUACAAGGGGAACGAACUUUAUGAUAGGUUUCUUUAUUUUUCUCGCACUAACUAGCACCACUCUUUCAAGAAUUGCGGGAGGGUGGGAAACGUAGAAGAUUGGAAGUGUGGAUGUGCUAUUUCAAUAAGGUAUAAGCUAUGGUCAUGGAGUUUCACUUGGAGUAGAAAAAGAAGAAAUAAGAUGUGAUGGGGCCAUGAGGAAACGCUCAGAAAAUGAGGGAUUUCAUGAAUUCUACCUGUUUUGAUGGAAUUUAAUUUCAUUGAUUCUGGGCAACAAAAAACCCGCUAAAAUUACUUGAAUUUUUUUUUAUUAGUUAUUUAAACAUAGCAUUUUACAGCUGAAUCCUUCUGUAAAUUACAUUCCUCUGUAAAAAUGAUUCAUCCAUACGCAACAAUAUAAGGGAGAACUAUAAACCCAUAAUACAAACUUUGCCACCCAAACAGAGAAAAGAAUUGCCUUUCUAUAAAAAUUACCCUUGGACUAUAAGAAUCAUCUAAGAAAAUAGACAACCACUGAUGAUUCCCUUUUUCAAACUUGGUUGAAUCUCUUCAGCGAAUUGGGUGAUAUUGUGUGAUACCACGCUUGGGUGGAAGCUUCCUCAAAAUGAAAAGGACCAAAGAAGAAGGCAAUAUUUCCACCAACUGCAGUAAAAAUGAGAGAAAGGUAAGAGGAAUUGUGGGAAAGAGACAUUCAAUACCUCUUUUGAUGGCUUACCCUCCAAAAAGGUUUAAAUAUUUAACCUACCGAAAAGGUUUAUCUUAGUAAAUUAUUAACUAGUAAAAAAACAUUUACAAAAUCACGGUUCCAAAUAAAAAUCAGAACAUCAACUAGCCAUAUUUUAUGAGAAACAAUUUUCAUCAGUGGCUAAAACUUUUGUUCGAGAUUUGCUCACUAUGAAUUGUUGGAUUUCAAAGCAGGAUUUAAUCUGAUUUAACAAUUCUGGCCACAUGGGUUUCCAGUAAGAACAAUCUUACAAAUCAGGAUUAAGAGUAAUGUCAAUAACAGAAAGAAAAGUUUAGCCUUAAAUUUGGGUCAGUCAAAAUUUUAGGCAGUGAACAUCUCACUUUGAUCACUAAGCUAAAGCCUAAUAAGCACAAAAGUAAAUGACCUUACCAGGUAAUAUAUGAAGUUCAGAAUAGGAUGGUCCAAGACAUCAAGGUCCGCAUUUUUAUCAAAUGCAUUAAAGCACAUCUGAUAAAACAAAAUAUAAUCAAACUCGAAGUUUCAUUAUUCUGAAGUGGCGGGAAUGUAUAUCUCUAUCAAACCCUAUCUCCAGUCCCCAUGGGGAGAAAAUAUUUUCUCAGUUAAGUCUCAAUGCUGGUUUUCCGGUUUCUCUUUGUGGCUCAAGUCUGGUAGUAAUAUCUCUUACUACCAAUAGUAUUUCACAUUUUUAUCCAAAGCAGUAUUUCCUUCCUAUCUGAAUCAAAUUGAUGGGGAUUAUUCCUAUGCAGCCAUUAAGCCAUACCUUGAGCAGACUGCAGAGUUAGGUUUCCAGUAUUGCUUAUCUCUCCAUCGUCACUAACAUCCCUAUGUUACCUCACCAACGAUAUCUUAUGAAGCCCGCUUUGUAUUUGUCAUUUUAGAGUAGACUGUUGGUGGAAUCAAUUACACACAUCUAAUUUGAGAAGGAGAGUUACAACAAUAUCUUUGGAAUAAUGUUGGAGGAAUCAAUUACACAUCUAAUUCAGAAAGAAAUUUAUUAUACUAGAGAUCACAGGUAAUUCAAGUAGGGAGAUGGGGACUGUUGAGUGUUGACACAGGUAACAAAAGGGCAGCCCAGUGCAUUAAAGCUCCCAAAAUGUGCGGGGUCUGGGCACAAGAGGUUGUUGACACAGGUAGUUAGAAAUAAAAUGGGAGAUGAGAUGUUGGUGUGGAAAGUUAUGGAUUGAUUGUGAGGGGAAGUUAGGGGAGAGUCCAGUUCUCAUGAAUAUGUGCAAGAGGAGAUCUAGAGCAUCUGUUAACCCAUUGAUCAGACCCAGAGAUAGAGCUUUUCAUCAAUUAACAUUCUGCUUUCUUUCUAUAUUCUGAUCCUGUUAUAUGGGGUAUAAUCUUAACCAAAGAUGAUGGGUUAGGCCCAGUGAAUUAUCAAUGACAAGAAUAGGAAGUUAAAAUGAGGAUUAUCAAUGCCUGCAUUCAGAAGUUACACAUCGUCCAAAAUAGCAAUGCGUAAAGCUGGCCCAACGCCUAGGUAGGAAAACUAACUUCAAAGGAGGAGGUUCCUAAAGGAUUCUGUAUCAACUAACAAGUCUUUGAGAAGCCAUUGAAGGGGAUUCAGGAUAUAGUCUGACACCAGAUUACAGUAGAGCAAGAUGGGGCCAGGUUUUAGGAGUGAUAAGAAAUUUAGUCCAGUCUCCAGAUCAAGUGUGUUAGAAGCAGUUACAGUACUGUCACUGGAGGAAGUUUCAAAACAAAAAGAGGAAUACCAUGUGAAUUGCUGGGACAGGAACAACAGCUGAAAUUCAUCUUGAGGACAUGAUGAAACUUUACAAGGGAUGAGGCAGGUAUGAGAAAAGGUGAAUGGGUGAAAUAGGAGGGGUUUAUUGCAUCAGUUAUUCUGCAGUAUCUUUGUAUCUCAUUUCUGCAUCUCUGAUCUUGAAUCACAUUGACACAGAUGUCAUUUUCUUUCCAUAUUUGAUCCAGUUCUAUUACAAUCUUAGAAAUUGUUUCCUGAUAUAGUUAUAUUUUGCUAGUAGUUUCCUUUUAGGUGGUGAGGCUAUUGAAACUCUCAAUUGCCUAUUCCUAUUCCCCACUAACAACUCAUAAUUAUAAUUUUCAAAAUUUGUCAGAGUUAAAUUUCAAUGCAACAUUGUAUGUUUGUCUAUCAACGUUCUACAAUAUUAGUUAUUUAUUUUAACUUAUAUUUAUUUGUAUUACCUAAAUAGCCUUUUAUAUAUGUUUUUUGGGUUAGCUUGCUAAUCACAGUUGGAUUUUAACAUGUUAAUUUUCAUACUUUCUCUCUAUAGGAACAUGGCCUAGAAUCAUUAGAUGAACUUGUGAUUCUAAAUUUAGGUAAGCUAAUUAUUUUAAUACAUAUUUUAUACUACGAGUUAUGUUCUUUUGCAUUGUACUUGGAUUUUUGUUCAGAGGAGGGAAUAGUUUUGGUGUAUCAAAAACAAGUAAAUUAAAAUGACUGACCAGAAUUGAAUGAUGAACAGUAAAUAUAAUUCAGACUAAACUGAAAAUAAAUUCUUCACUUGAGGACAAUUUAGGAAAUUAAAAUUCAGAAGUGGAGUGUGGAUAGGCAAUUGGUAGUACUAAUAGCCUCGCCCUUAAAUUAGUUCAAUACACAUUAUCAGGAUUGAGCUUGUAUCAGUAAUACUACACUUAGCCUCAUCAAACUACAUACCUCUUGCAGCUUCUUACGUCUACCUUUGGAUUCAACAGGAAAGCGUUGCAGCAUCAAGAAUAAUCUGUCAAAAAACUGAGUCAGGGAGUAGUGCAAAAUGCAGCAAAAUGAGAGGGUAUGACAAAUGGGCAAACAAGAUGCAAGUAUUCAGAAAACACCCAAGAUUUAGUUUAAAAUUUGAAUUUUAAUCAUAGUUAUCAAUAGCGCGCGAAAGCGGCGCUGUAGCGUAGCGGACCCCUGCCGCGACGGGAUCGCAGCCGCGAAAUCCCGCUAUUCACGGCCAAUAGCGGCCUUCCCUUGUAUGGGAUUUCAUUUUUGGGGGUCAUCCACGAUCCGCGAUUGACUACUAUGAUUUUAAUGGUGCUUGCUUAAGUCCUCAUAUGCUUUAAAAUAGAUGGAAUAUAUUCAUUCCAAAUUACAUCAAAG